rnacentral:rRNA from 1 species
UAAGCAUAUCAAUAAGCGGAGGAAAAGAAACUAACAAGGAUUCCCCUAGUAACUGCGAGUGAAGCGGGAAAAGCUCAAAUUUAAAAUCUGGCGGUCUUUGGCCGUCCGAGUUGUAGUCUGGAGAAGUGCUUUCCGCGCUGGACCGUGUAUAAGUCUCUUGGAACAGAGCGUCAUAGAGGGUGAGAAUCCCGUCUUUGACACGGACUACCAGUGCUUUGUGAUGCGCUCUCAAAGAGUCGAGUUGUUUGGGAAUGCAGCUCAAAAUGGGUGGUGAAUUCCAUCUAAAGCUAAAUAUUGGCGAGAGACCGAUAGCGAACAAGUACCGUGAGGGAAAGAUGAAAAGCACUUUGGAAAGAGAGUUAAACAGUACGUGAAAUUGCUGAAAGGGAAACGCUUGAAGUCAGUCGCGUUGUCCGGAACUCAGCCUUGCUUUUGCUUGGUGCACUUUCCGGAUGACGGGUCAGCAUCGAUUUUGACCGUCGGAAAAGGGCUGGAGUAAUGUGGCACCUCCGGGUGUGUUAUAGACUCUGGUCGCAUACGACGGUUGGGAUCGAGGAACGCAGCGCGCCGCAAGGCAGGGGUUCGCCCACUUUCGCGCUUAGGAUGCUGGCAUAAUGGCUUUAAACGACCCGUCUUGAAACACGGACCAAGGAGUCUAACAUACCUGCGAGUGUUUGGGUGGAAAACCCGAGCGCGUAAUGAAAGUGAAAGUUGAGAUCCCUGUCGUGGGGAGCACCGACGCCCGGACCUGACGUUCUCUGACGGAUCCGCGGUAGAGCAUGUAUGUUGGGACCCGAAAGAUGGUGAACUAUGCCUGAAUAGGGUGAAGCCAGAGGAAACUCUGGUGGAGGCUCGUAGCGAUUCUGACGUGCAAAUCGAUCGUCAAAUUUGGGUAUAGGGGCGAAAGACUAAUCGAACC